CUGAGUUGCUUAUCCAAGGUCAUACAGCAGCAAUAUAGAGCCACAAGCUGAAACCAGGUAAUCUGACUCAAGAACCGUGCACUCAUUCAUUAUAUCGUCCUGUAGUUCUACACAAUGUAUAAAAUGCAAAGGUACUUUCUUAGAAAUAAGACCAUAUGACCAUCUCAAUUUAAUGUUAAAUCUUAUCUUCCUAUUCCCCUCUGCCCAUCCAGAAAAAUACUAACAAUUGUUGGGGAAGCACCCAGUUACUAAAAGGGGAAACAGGAAUUCACGAUUCAGUGCCCUACGUCAGCAGUUCUCCAUCCAUCAAAUGUAACAUUCCCUUUGUUCAUUUGUUUUUUUUUUUUUAUUGGUAUUGUGUAGACCUAGUCUUACUAGAGGAGGGCAAAAGACAUGGGCUGGAGUUCCAGCUCUGCCUUAACGAGCAAUGGAAAUUUGGGCGAGUGGUUUGACUUUUUAAAAUCUCAUUUCCACAUUUUGAAAAUGGGAAGAAUAAGGGGCACCUGGCUGGCUCAGCCAGAGGAGCACGCAACUCUUGAUCUCGGGGUAGUGAGCUCAAGCCUCACGUUGGUUGUAGAGCCUACUUUGAAAAAAAUGGGAAUAAUAAGAUCACCCAACCUAUCUUUUUUCACUUCUCAGAGUAGUGGGUCAGCACUCUACAUAGGUGAACCUUCCUUAUAAGUUGCUUUCUUUCCUCCACCCUCACCCCCAUCUCCGUGUCUUUUUUUCCUUCUUUUCUUAUUUCAUGGAAAAAUUAAAAAUAAAAAAAUAAUUAUUUCAUGGACCAUUACAGCCAAAAGAUACUUGAUUUUCAAGCAAUUUCCCCUGAAUGACCCUUAAUGUAUGGAAGGAGUUAUGUCUCUCUGACUGAAUGGGUCACCUCUCCUGGGCUCCAAAGCCCAGAGUUGAGUUGAGCAGCAACAGAGGCAUUCUAUGGAAAUGUUUCUCUUCCUCAGACAGGACAAAGGCAUCUUUAGCAGACAGACCCCAUGUGUCCAGAGCCAGGUACACUUGCCAAUUCCAACAGAAAGCCGUCCUACUUUCUGGGAAAACAACGGCUGAAGAACAACUAACUUCACAUUCAAAGAAGAUGCCGAGCUAAUUGAAUUUCUUGCAGGUAAGAGUCAAGGUUGCAUUAGGCAUUUUAAUACAUUUAACUUCAUAAACAAGGACACAGGAAUCACAGAAAGUUAACUCACUCGUGGUAAGACAUAUAUUAAUUGGCAAAUUGCCUCUGGCUUUGGCACCAUCUCACUGUGGAGAUUAAUAUGGUGGCCAUGAAGAUGCACCUUACAGCCCUCCAAAUACAGGAAGAAUAACGUCCAAGGGCCUGAAUGCUGUACCCUGAAAUCUGUAGCCUGCUUUGCUUGCAUUCAGGCCAUACCUCCUGUGAGCUGCUCCAGCCAAGACUGAGUGUGGCUAGAAUACAUAUGGUAAAACCAUUCCUAGAAACUGCGGGACUCAGCUGACCACUGACCCUGGCUGACUCAAGGACUCCCCAAUGGCCUCGAAUCUUCCCUGGAUGGCACAGGAGUCUAGGCCACUUCACCCAACUUUCUCUUGUUCUUCUUUUCAUUCAGUCAGACUUGUUUCCUGGUCAAAAGUUUCUUCCAUCUUUUUUCUGGGCCCCUCCCCAUUUCACUCACAGUCAUUUCCCCUAGUAAUAUCUUUGCACAUUUAAUCCCAGCUUGACUUCUGCUCUUCAGAGGACCCAGAUUAACACAUUUAACAGAUCAUUUAAACUUCUUAGUUUCAAUUUUUGUAUUUUGCAAAUUGGGAGUUGGGGGACAGAGAAGAGCUAAAAGGAGAAAGACUUAUUCAGUGUCUACCAUGUGCUUUAUGUUAUUUUACAGGUAGUACUGCUAUUUUACGGAAAAGGAAGGGGAAGAUGAGAGAAAUGAUAUCACUAGUUUAAGAUUACUGCAGCGUCUAGAUUUGUACUGAAGCCUAUUCUGACUUCAAGGUGUAUCUUCUCUACCACUUUCUCUCCUUUUCUAACUGCUUAAUUGUGAAGAUCAAAAAAGAUAACAGAUGUGAAAGCACUUUGAAAAUGUGUUACUUCAAAGCCAGAGAUGAUUAUUUCUGUUGGUUGCGGUCAAGACCACUAUGUCAUAUGCAAGCCUGGUGCAAAGUACAAAUGUGGGGCUCCUUGUUCAAAAUUUAUUGAGACUUUGAAGAUGGCACAGCAGAGCAUUACACCAGGUAUGGGACCCAUGAACCCAGCCAUGGGAACAGCAGAAUUAUUGAGACAGGGGCAAUCAAAUUGAGCUUGUAGGAAACUUUCUAGAAGAAUAGAAAAAACAUUCUGG
rnacentral:lncRNA from 1 species